rnacentral:tRNA from 1 species
GGAAGAUCGUCGUCUCCGGUGAGACGAUUGGCUUUUGCAGUGGUAGCCGUUCACGGCUCCCGGCAGGUUCGACUCCUGCGGUCUCCGCCA